rnacentral:misc_RNA from 1 species
UAAAUGCCUGUAUAUGGUGAACUUGUGGUUGAGAACACUUGACAAAGAUUGAGCACUAAAAUGCAGAGGAGUUGAAGAAUGAUAGAUGACUCUGAAGAUGCACAUUGAUUCUUGAAUUUGAGCUGGAAACCCACUUCUCACUGUCACUGUUUCUCCACAUGAUCUAUUUUAGUGUAAGAUUUAUUUAUUUCUUUUUUAAAUAAUUCUUAUUGGAGUUCAAAUUCAAGAAUUUA